rnacentral:rRNA from 1 species
UACGUAGGUGGCAAGCGUUGUCCGGAUUUACUGGGCGUAAAGGGCGCGUAGGCGGCGUGUCAAGUCAGGCGUGAAAGCCCCGGGCUCAACCUGGGAACCGCGCUUGAGACUGGCAUGCUCGAGUUCGGGAGAGGAUGGUGGAAUUCCCAGUGAUAGAGGUGAAAUUCGUAGAUAUUGGGAAGAACACCGAUGGCGAAGGCCAGCCAUCUGGAGCCGACACUGACGCUGAGGCGCGAAAGCGUGGGGAGCAAACAGG